rnacentral:rRNA from 2 species
CAGCCGCCGCGGUAAAACCAGCACCUCGAGUGGUCAGGAGGUUUAUUGGGCCUAAAGCAUCCGUAGCCGGUUGCAUAAGUUUUCGGUUAAAUCUAUGCGCUCAACGUAUAGGCCGCCGAAAAUACUGUGCAGCUAGGGAGUGGGAGAGGUACACGGUACUCAAUAGGAAGGGGUAAAAUCCUUUGAUCUAUUGAUGACCACCUGUGGCGAAGGCGGUGUACCAGAACACGUUCGACGGUGAGGGAUGAAAGCUGGGGGAGCAAACCGGAUUAGAUACCCGGGUAGUCCCAGCUGUAAACGAUGUAUACUCGGUGAUGCAUUGGCUUGUGGUCAAUGCAGUGCCGCAGGUAAGCCGUUAAGUCUGCCGCCUGCGAAGUACGUACCCCUGUAUGAAACUUAAAGGAAUUGGCGGGGGAGCAC